GAUGAACGCUGGCGGCGUGCCUAAUACAUGCAAGUCGAGCGAACGGACGAGAAGCUUGCUCCUCUGACGUUAGCGGCGGACGGGUGAGUAACACGUGGAUAACCUACCUAUAAGACUGGGAUAACUUCGGGAAACCGGAGCUAAUACCGGAUAACAUUUUGAACCGCAUGGUUCAACAGUGAAAGACGGUCUUGCUGUCACUUAUAGAUGGAUCCGCGCUGCAUUAGCUAGUUGGUAAGGUAACGGCUUACCAAGGCAACGAUGCGUAGCCGACCUGAGAGGGUGAUCGGCCACACUGGAACUGAGACACGGUCCAGACUCCUACGGGAGGCAGCAGUAGGGAAUCUUCCGCAAUGGGCGAAAGCCUGACGGAGCAACGCCGCGUGAGUGAUGAAGGUCUUCGGAUCGUAAAACUCUGUUAUUAGGGAAGAACAAAUGUGUAAGUAACUAUGCACAUCUUGACGGUACCUAAUCAGAAAGCCACGGCUAACUACGUG
rnacentral:rRNA from 1 species